rnacentral:rRNA from 1 species
GACAGAGGGUGCGAACGUUGUUCGGAAUUACUGGGCGCAAAGCGCAUGUAGGCGGCAGCGCAAGUCGGGCGUGAAAUCCCACGGCUCAACCGUGGAAGUGCACUCGAAACUGCGCAGCUAGAGUCCUGGAGAGGAAGGUGGAAUGCUUGGUGUAGAGGUGAAAUUCGUAGAUAUCAAGCGGAACACCGGUGGCGAAGGCGGCCUUCUGGACAGUGACUGACGCUGAGAUGCGAAAGCGUGGGGAGCAAACAGG